UCCCAAUUUAAGUAAUUUUAUCUAUCUUUUUCGCUAUUUGAUUGUGCCUCUGUUGGAAAAUUUCAUAUAAUUUUUCUGAUUGUAUCCCAGUUUAAGUAUUUAGAUUUUUCUGAUUGUAUCCCAGUUAACUUCUCUGUCACGGGUGGUCCUCUUCACAAAUCCAAGCUCAAUCCCAAACCGCGGCACAGCGCUCCUUUUCCUCUGCUGCUUCUUGUGCUUGUUUUCGGCAAAAUUAAGCUCCAAUUCAGACGACAGAUCUAGAGAGAUCGCCAUCGAUAUUGGAUGAAUAUUGUCUGACAUAUACUAUUUUGGUGGGACAGUGCAUUGUUGAGCCCUCCUCAUAUUACUCUUUUCAUCACAUUUUGUCUGCGGCUACAUAUACAUUACCGGAGGGCAUUCGUUUAAACUGAAAACACUAUAUACGCUAUACGAUUAAUAAUUCAUUGUGAAUAAAAAAGUGAUGAAAUUUUUGUUUGUUCCUAUUAUUCCCUGCUUAUACAAUAGUAGAGAAUUUUUGAUUU